GUGAGGAAUUUUCCGCAAUGGGCGAAAGCCUGACGGAGCAAUGCCGCGUGAAGGAUGAAGGCCUAUGGGUUGUAAACUUCUUUUCUCAGAAAAGAAUUAUGACGGUAUCUGAGGAAUAAGCAUCGGCUAACUCUGUGCCAGCAGCCGCAGUAAGACAGAGGAUGCAAGCGUUAUCCGGAAUGAUUGGGCGUAAAGCGUCUGUAGGUUGUUUAAAAAGUAUUCUGUCAAAGAUUAGGGCUUAACCCUAGAUAGGCAGAAUAAACUUUUAAGCUAGAGUUUGGUAGAGGCAGAGGGAAUUCCCGGUGGAGCGGUGAAAUGCGUAGAUAUCGGGAGGAACACCAAAGGCGAAGGCACUCUGCUGGGCCAAUACUAACACUGAGAGACGAAAGCGAGGGGAGCAAAUGGGAUUAGAAACCCGAGUAGUCC
rnacentral:rRNA from 1 species